rnacentral:tRNA from 1 species
GGGUGUGUAGCUCAGUUGGUAGAGCAGCGGACUGAAAAUCCGCGUGUCGGUGGUUCGAAUCCGCCUCUGGGCACCA